rnacentral:tRNA from 1 species
AUUUAAAUAGUUUAUUAAUAAAAUAAUGGUUUGUGAGAUCAUAGAAAUAUUUUAUAUUUUAAAUU